UAAUGGUCACCUUGGGAACCACAUCAGGCAUUGCUAUAAUGGUGACCUUGGGAACCACAUCAAAGAUUGUUUUAAGAGAAUUGAUGCUUCGAGUGGGUACAUGACCAUCCAAAGGAGCACUGUACCUCCAUUACUAGGAGUUCGUCCUGAUGUUUUAAAGAUGAUCAAUUGGAAGUGAUAUGGGCACUGUUGCUAUAAAUUCUGACAUUAAAAUCAAUGAU
rnacentral:misc_RNA from 1 species